UGGGCAACCUGCCCUCAGCUCUGGGAUAACUCCAAGAAAUUGGGGCUAAUACCGGAUAUGACCGCUGACCGCAUGGUCUGGUGGUGGAAAGAUUUAUCGGCUGGGGAUGGGCCCGCGGCCUAUCAGCUUGUUGGUGGGGUAGUGGCCUACCAAGGCGACGACGGGUAGCCGGCCUGAGAGGGUGACCGACCACACUGGGACUGAGACACGGCCCAGACUCCUACGGGAG
rnacentral:rRNA from 1 species